rnacentral:rRNA from 1 species
CACGCCCUAAACGAUGGAUACUUGGUGUUGGGGGGUUACCUUCAGUGCCGGAGCUAACGCGUUAAGUAUCCCACCUGGGGACUACGGCCGCAAGGCUAAAACUCAAAGGAAUUGACGGGG